rnacentral:tRNA from 1 species
UUCUGGGUACGCUCAGUUGGUUAGAGCACCGUACGAUUAAUGCGGAGGUCGCUGGUUCAAGUCCAGCCCCAGGAU